rnacentral:rRNA from 5 species
UUCGGUGGUCAUAGCGUGAGGGAAACGCCCGGUUACAUUCCGAACCCGGAAGCUAAGCCUUUCAGCGCCGAUGGUACUGCAUGCGGGAGUGUGUGGGAGAGUAGGACGCCGCCGAAC